UUGAAAGCCAGUAGGAAUAAAAAUUAACAGGUUUGUGGAGAGACUGAUGCAGCCUGUUACACCACUAAGAGAAAAGAAGAUUAAGUGAUGAUCCAAUGCCAGUGUUCAAAGUGACGGAGAGGGUUUGAAGAAAUAACCUCAAAGAAAUAACUUUUAGUGCCAUGAAAGAAAAUAAGCAGCAGGCAUCGACUGAAAGUAAAUCUCAAUAAUUAUCAACUAAAGAUAUACCUAGAAAGUUGUGCUAACCGGCUUCCAAAGGAAUCUGCACCAAUUGAACAGUUCAGACACUCCACUAGCUGGACAUCCUCUUCAGACACAUUGCCAGAUGUCCAAGGAACAUGGCAUUUCAUUGCCUCCAGGUCAUUAUAGGACAAGAACAAUAAAGAGAAGAUAUUUUCCAACACCUCCAACCGGAAGGGAGCAGGAAUCACAUGCAGAAACUCCUGACAUCUGGAUAAAUACAACUUGAAAACUGCAGAACCA